GGGCCAGUGGUCUAGCGGACUAUGACGUAGGCCUGCGGAGCCUAAGUUCGUGGGUUCGAAUCCCACCUGGCCCG
rnacentral:tRNA from 2 species